rnacentral:misc_RNA from 1 species
AAGUCGUAACAAGGUUUCCGUAGGUGAACCUGCGGAAGGAUCAUUAUUGAAAUCCUUAGGAUGUUGCUGGCCUUUCGGGGCAUGUGCACUCCGCCUUUUCAACCCACCUGUGCACUCAUUGUAGGCCGGACUGUAAAGGCUGUGUCUAUGUUUUUAUACACCCCAUUUAAAAAGUUUAACAGAAUGUUCAUAAUUAGACCUUUGAUGGUCGAAAUAAAUUAAUACAACUUUCAACAAUGGAUCUCUUGGUUCUC